rnacentral:rRNA from 1 species
UACGAAGGGGGCUAGCGUUGUUCGGAUUUACUGGGCGUAAAGCGCACGUAGGCGGAUCGUUAAGUCGGGGGUGAAAUCCUGGAGCUCAACUCCAGAACUGCCUUCGAUACUGGCGCUCUUGAGUCCGGAAGAGGUGAGUGGAACUCCUAGUGUAGAGGUGGAAUUCGUAGAUAUUAGGAAGAACACCAGUGGCGAAGGCGGCUCAGCUGGUCCGGUACUGACGCUGAGGUGCGAAAGCGUGGGGAGCAAACAGG